GACGAACGCUGGCGGCGUGCUUAACACAUGCAAGUCGAACGAAGUAGCGAACGGGUGAGUAACGCGUAAUCAACCUGCCCUUCAGAGGGGGACAACAGUUGGAAACGACUGCUAAUACCGCAUACUGAAGGAGGGGAUUGCGUCUGAUUAGGUAGUUGGAGGGGUACAGGCCCACCAAGCCGCUGAUCAGUAGCAGGUCUGAUAGGAUGAACGGCAACAUUGGGACUGAGACACGGCCCAGACUCCUACGGGCGGCAGCAGUGGGGAGUCUUCCGCAAUGGACGAAAGUCUGACGGAGCAACGCCGCGUGAGUGAUGACGGCCUUCGGGUUGUAAAGCUCUGUUAAUCGGGACGCGGUACCGGAAUAGAAAGCCACGGCUAACUACGUGCCAGCCGCCGCGGUAAUUC
rnacentral:rRNA from 1 species